GACGGAAAGACCCCGUGAACCUUUACUGCAGCUUGGCUGUGGCACCGGAAAUAGUAUGUGUAGGAUAGGUGGGAGGCUUUGAAGCAGCGGCGCCAGUCGUUGUGGAGCCAUCCUUGAAAUACCACCCUUGUAGAUAUGGUUGUCUAACCGCGGCCCCUGAUCGGGGUCCGGGACAGCGCAUGGCAGGCAGUUUGACUGGGGCGGUCGUCUCCCAAAGCGU
rnacentral:rRNA from 13 species